CUACAAAGGAAUUGACGGGGCCCGCACAAGCAGCGGAGCGUGUGGUUUAAUUCGAUGUUACACGAAGAACCUUACCAGGGUUUGACAUGCAAGUGGUAGGAAGCCGAAAGGUGACCGACCCUUCGGGGAGCUUGCACAGGUGCUGCAUGGCUGUCGUCAGCUCGUGUCGUGAGAUGUUCGGUUAAGUCCGCUAACGAGCGCAACCCUCGCUGUGUGUUAUAUGUGUCACACGGGACUGCCGGUCUUAAGCCGGAGGAAGGUGGGGAUGAUGUCAAGUCAUCAUGGCCCUUAUGUCCAGGGCUACACACGUGCUACAAUGGGCGAGACAGAGCGACGCGAAGCCGCGAGGUGGAGCAAAUCGCAGAAAAUCGCCCUCAGUUCGGAUUGGAGUCUGAAACCCGACUCCAUGAAGGUGGAAUCGCUAGUAAUCGCGCAUCAGCAUGGCGCGGUGAAUACGUUCCCGGGCCUU
rnacentral:rRNA from 1 species